GACGAACGCGGCGGUGUGCUUAACACAUGCAAGUCGAACGGUAAGGCCCUUUCGGGGGUACACGAGUGGCGAACGGGUGAGUAACACGUGAGUAACCUGCCCUCAUCUCUGGGAUAACAGUCGGAAACGGUUGCUAAUACUGGAUAUGAGCUUGCAAGGCAUCUUGUGGGUUGGAAAGAUAUUUUUUGGUUGGGGAUGGACUCGCGGCCUAUCAGCUUGUUGGUGAGGUAGUGGCUCACCAAGGCUUCGGCGGGUAGCCGGCCUGAGAGGGCGACCGGCCACAUUGGGACUGAGAUACGGCCCAAACUCCUACGGGAGGCAGCAGUGGGGAAUAUUGCACAAUGGACGGAAGUCUGAUGCAGCAACGCCGCGUGCGGGAUGACGGCCUUCGGGUUGUAAACCGCUUUCAAUUGUGACGAAGCUUUUUGUGACGU
rnacentral:rRNA from 2 species